AUUCCAGCUCCAAUAGCGUAUACUAAAGUUGUUGCAGUUAAAAAGCUCGUAGUUGAAUUUCUGGUCGUGGCGAUCGGUCCGCCCCUCACGGGGUGUGCACCUGGUCUCUACGUCCAUCCUCGGGGAGAGCGCGUCUGGCAUUCAGUUGUCGGGCGCGGGAUCCUCGUCAUUUACUGUGAGCAAAAUAGAGUGUUCAAAGCAGGCUUAGGCCGUUGAAUACCUUAGUCUAUUUUGUUGGUUUGCAUUCCAAGGUAAUGAUUAAUAGGGAUAGUUGGGGGUAUUCGUAUUCAAUUGUCAGAGGUGAAAUUCUUGGACUUAUGGAAGACGAACUACUGCGAAAGCAUUUACCAAGGAUGUUUUCAUCG
rnacentral:rRNA from 1 species